UCUGUCACUUAGCAAAAGUGUGACAAUGUUGUCAAAGAAGUGCUGAAUCAAACGAAUGCAUGCCGGAGGACAUUUCUCAGAUGAUGCCAAUCGGUUGGCUUCAUCAGUGGCCUCAUGCGCAGCCUGGAAGAGCUGUCUUUUUAUUGACCAGUUGCAAGAAGAUUCCCCGCUGCAGAGAAAGCAGGUCAAAUGGACAGUGUUUCCGCCCAGUUUCAAACUAUGGACCUUUCCUAUGUUAGGCGAACGUGAUACCACCGCUACACUAAAGAAACGUUUGCUCAAUCCACCACUGGUAUUGCUCUUUUGUCUUUGCAGAAGUACUUUGGAGAAGGUCUUGAACUAACAGAUUCAUCAGGCAUUGACCAUCAUCACUAUGGAACAGUCUAAAUCAGCACCUGCAUGUAGGAGGUUGUGGUUUUCAGCCAGGGAGUGGAGGAUAGAACAAACUCGGCCUGGAGUGAGUAUCCGCCCAAAUGGACGCAGUUCAAGUGCAUACUUCCUCUUAAGACCGAAGUUGAGGCUGCCAGACAAUUUUCCAAUACACUCCUCGUUAGUAUAGUGGACAGUAUCUCUGCUUGUCACGCAGAAGACCAGGGUUCGAUUCCCUGACGGGGAGCUUCUUUUCAAAAGGCAACUACAAACUUUUCACUCUCCUUGGCUUCUCCUGUCCUAUGCAACACAACUCAUGCUGAUUAACACUAUUUUACUACUGAAACUACAGGUCCUGAACAGACUGUUGCUAAAAGCAUGAGUCCAGAUUGUCACACUUCUGUCACUUAGCAAAAGUGUGACAAUGUUGUCAAAGAAGUGCUGAAUCAAACGAAUGCAUGCAGGAGGACAUCUCUCAGAUGAUGCCAAUCGGUUGGCUUCAUCAGUGGCCU
ensembl:lncRNA